rnacentral:rRNA from 1 species
CGCCCUUUGAGUUUGAUCCUGGCUCAGAUUGAACGCUGGCGGUAUGCUUAACACAUGCAAGUCGAACGCGGAAACGAAGAUAGCUUGCUAUCAGGCGUCGAGCGGCGGACGGGUGAGUAACGCGUAGGAAUCUACCUAGUAGUGGGGGAUAGCCCAGAGAAAUUUGGAUUAAUACCGCAUACGCCCUAUGGGGGAAAGCAGGGGAUCUUCGGACCUUGCGCUAUUAGAUGAGCCUGCGUGAGAUUAGCUAGUUGGUGAGGUAAAGGCUCACCAAGGCGACGAUCUCUAGCUGGUCUGAGAGGAUGAUCAGCCACACUGGGACUGAGACACGGCCCAGACUCCUACGGGAGGCAGCAGUGGGGAAUAUUGGACAAUGGGGGCAACCCUGAUCCAGCCAUGCCGCGUGUGUGAAGAAGGCCUUAGGGUUGUAAAGCACUUUCAGUAGGGAGGAAAGGGUAAUGGUUAAUACCCAUUAUCUGUGACGUUACCCACAGAAGAAGGACCGGCUAACUCCGUGCCAGCAGCCGCGGUAAUACGGAGGGUCCGAGCGUUAAUCGGAAUGACUGGGCGUAAAGCGCACGCAGGCGGUUUGUUAAGCUAGAUGUGAAAGCCCCGGGCUCAACCUGGGAAUAGCAUUUAAACUGUCAGGCUAGAGUAUGGUAGAGGGGAGUGGAAUUUCUGGUGUAGCGGUGAAAUGCGUAGAUAUCAGAAGGAACAUCAGUGGCGAAGGCGACUCCCUGGCCAAAGACUGACGCUCAUGUGCGAAAGUGUGGGUAGCGAACAGGAUUAGAUACCCUGGUAGUCCACACCGUAAACGAUGUCUACUAGCUGUUUGUGGAUUUAAUCCGUGAGUAGCGCAGCUAACGCGAUAAGUAGACCGCCUGGGGAGUACGGCCGCAAGGUUAAAACUCAAAUGAAUUGACGGGGGCCCGCACAAGCGGUGGAGCAUGUGGUUUAAUUCGAUGCAACGCGAAGAACCUUACCUACUCUUGACAUCCAGUGAACAUUGCAGAGAUGCAUUGGUGCCUUCGGGAACUGAGUGACAGGUGCUGCAUGGCUGUCGUCAGCUCGUGUCGUGAGAUGUUCGGUUAAGUCCGGCAACGAGCGCAACCCACGUCCUUAGUUGCCAGCAGUUCGGCUGGGCACUCUAAGGAAACUGCCGGUGAUAAGCCGGAGGAAGGUGUGGAUGACGUCAAGUCCUCAUGGCCCUUACGGGUUGGGCUACACACGUGCUACAAUGGCAGUGACAAUGGGUUAAUCCCAAAAAACUGUCUCAGUUCGGAUUGGGGUCUGCAACUCGACCCCAUGAAGUUGGAAUCGCUAGUAAUCGCGUAACAGCAUGACGCGGUGAAUACGUUCCCGGGCCUUGUACACACCGCCCGUCACACCAUGGGAGUUGAUUGCACCAGAAGUAGCUAGCUUAACCUUCGGGAGGGCGGUUACACGGUGGGGUUCAUGACUGGGGUGAAGUCGUAACAAGGUAAC